CUACCGGGGUAUCUAAUCCUGUUUGCUCCCCAUGCUUUCGCACCUCAGCGUCAGUAUUUGGCCAGAAGGCUGCCUUCGCCAUCGGUAUUCCUCCAGAUCUCUACGCAUUUCACCGCUACACCUGGAAUUCUACCUUCCUCUCCAAUACUCUAGCCGUGCAGUUUUGAAUGCAGUGCCCAGGUUAAGCCCGGGGAUUUCACAUCCAACUUACACAACCGCCUACGCGCGCUUUACGCCCAGUAAUUCCGAUUAACGCUUGCACCCUCUGUAUUACCGCGGCUGCUGGCAC
rnacentral:rRNA from 1 species